AGUGAACGCUGGCGGUAGGCCUAACACAUGCAAGUCGAACGGCAGCACAGUAAGAGCUCGCUCUUACGGGUGGCGAGUGGCGGACGGGUGGGGAAUACAUCGGAAUCUACUUUUUCGUGGGGGAUAACGUAGGGAAACUUACGCUAAUACCGCAUACGACCUACGGGUGAAAGCAGGGGAUCUUCGGACCUUGCGCGAUUGAAUGAGCCGAUGUCGGAUUAGCUAGUUGGCGGGGUAAAGGCCCACCAAGGCGACGAUCCGUAGCUGGUCUGAGAGGAUGAUCAGCCACACUGGAACUGAGACACGGUCCAGACUCCUACGGGAGGCAGCAGUGGGGAAUAUUGGACAAUGGGCGCAAGCCUGAUCCAGCCAUACCGCGUGGGUGAAGAAGGCCUUCGGGUUGUAAAGCCCUUUUGUUGGGAAAGAAAAGCAGCAGGUUAAUACCCCGCUGUUCUGACGGUACCCAAAGAAUAAGCACCGGCUAACUUCGUG
rnacentral:rRNA from 1 species